rnacentral:lncRNA from 1 species
UUUCGUCCAUGUCUCAAAGAUAGCAUCUGGGAACUCAGGAACAAAAAUGUUAGAGAUAUUCUUAAAAGUAUUUCGAAUUGCAUCAUCUCUAAUUUUUGCAUAUUUCAAGUAAGUUUGUUGUUGAUUGUGCAUGAACUUGCACAUAUCCAUCAACAUUGACAACUCUGAUUUCCUUGAACUACUUGCAAAAUUUGGCAUGGGAAUUGUAUAUUCAGGUUCAACACUUAGCUUGACCGGUU